rnacentral:rRNA from 1 species
GAACAGGCAAAAGCUCAGAUUUGAAACCCUCGGGAUUGUAAUCUGGAGACCUGGAUUUGGCACGCUGACCAAGUCUUCUGGAACGGAGCGCCAUGGAGGGUGACAGCCCCGUAGCAGCAGCCACUGUAAAUCCGGGUCGACGAGUCGAGUUGUUUGGGAAUGCAGCUCUAAGUGGGUGGUAUGCUCCAUCUAAAGCUAAAUAUUGGCGAGAGACCGAUAGCGAACAAGUACUGUGAAGGAAAGAUGAAAAGAACUUUGAAAAGAGAGUGAAAAAGUACGUGAAAUUGUUGAAAUGGAAGGCAAUGAGGUGCGAUUGAACCGGACGUUUGCGGGCAGGACAAAAGCGCAGGCCGCCUCGGCAUUGCCUGCGUGCAUACUGCCUCGCGGACUACCAGUUCUAACAACGCCUUAUUGCACCCGUCUUGAAC